AACUGAAUAAAUAAGCAAAAUAAUCUUACCUUAAAAAAUCAGGAACUGAAUUUACCAUGUAUAUAUUGUCUUGUGUGUAUCUGUCAACGAAACUGCUGAACGGAAUAUCUUCACCUGGAUAUCGCUUUGCUCCCCCGGAAAACAAGACUGGUUUUGCGGGGAUCACAAAGUUUGUAAAGAACUCCUGGGGCGAAGGAAAUCCUUGAAAAACCUCCACCGAGUUGCGUCUACCAAAUGAGAAGAUCGGCUUAAGAUGUCCCUCGAGAUUUACAGCAUUCUCUGAUUUUAUUAGCGGGAAUAAAAGCGUGAUUCCUACUAAUAAACUCAUAGCAGACUUGGGUUUCAGCGCACAGAAGAAAGCCAUGAAUGCGUGUUUAGAAGUCAAACGGAAGUAAAUAAAACAGAACAGUGUCAAACUACCACAGGGGUACCACAACUGGAAGCUGAAUAAAAAAACAGGGUAAAAAAUA